rnacentral:rRNA from 1 species
CCUACGGGAGGCAGCAGUGGGGAAUAUUGGACAAUGGGCGCAAGCCUGAUCCAGCAAUGCCGCGUGUGUGAAGAAGGCCUUAGGGUUGUAAAGCACUUUCAGUGGGGAAGAAAAGCGAGGCGCUAAUAUCGCCUCGUCAUGACGUUACCCACAGAAGAAGCACCGGCUAACUCCGUGCCAGCAGCCGCGGU